CCUACGGGUGGCUGCAGUGGGGAAUAUUGGACAAUGGGGGGAACCCUGAUCCAGCCAUGCCGCGUGUGUGAAGAAGGCCCCCGGGUUGUAAAGCACUUUCAGUGAGGAAGAACGCCUGGUGGUUAAUACCCAUCAGGAAAGACAUCACUCACAGAAGAAGCACCGGCUAACUCCGUGCCAGCAGCCGCGGUAAUACGGAGGGUGCGAGCGUUAAUCGGAAUUACUGGGCGUAAAGCGCGCGUAGGUGGCUUGAUAAGCCGGUUGUGAAAGCCCCGGGCUCAACCUGGGAACGGCAUCCGGAACUGUCAAGCUAGAGUGCAGGAGAGGAAGGUAGAAUUCCCGGUGUAGCGGUGAAAUGCGUAGAGAUCGGGAGGAAUACCAGUGGCGAAGGCGGCCUUCUGGACUGACACUGACACUGAGGUGCGAAAGCGUGGGUAGCAAACAGGAUUAGAUACCCCUGUAGUC
rnacentral:rRNA from 1 species